rnacentral:lncRNA from 1 species
CCCUGGGAGAGGCAGGAGCACCGCCGGCCGCCAGCUCCGGCCUGGCUGCCCGGCAGACAGCUGGACGGGAUUUCAGAAUCAGACUUACGAGAGUCCUGUUGCGGCUGGGAUUUAGGUGCUUUUAACCUGAAAAUGGUGCAUAUCCUGUCAGCACUGCAGAAGAACUCGAGGACCUCUUGGCCUGGGCUCAAUCUGGAGUAUUUGGGAACUUGGAGAAUGGAGGAAUAUGCACGUAGAUGACUCCCAAGUUUCACCACUCUUCAAAUGAACACAAAUGACUUUGAAAUCAUCAUGACUUUCGAUUUGGGGAUUACACAUCAACUUUGAUGAGCAGGAAAAUUGCAUGGAGAAAAUCCACAAAUCGGAAGAGCAGAUGGUACAUCACGAUCAAGUGGACAGGUGUCCAGCACACAGGUAGUAGCGGGAUCCCGAUGGACACCCACUCGUCUCCUGCUCUGGUCGUGUAGAUUGUGUUGGAUUUUGUAACCAUUCCACAGGGUGCAGCAUGAAUUCUCCUACACCCUCCCCGCAUGGUUAGUGUGGUGAAGGAAACAGAGGUGCAGAAGAGAAGAGUCAGAGAGAUCCUGAGUGUGCGGAGAGUUGAUGCAGUGCGGUUGGAUCUGCCAUGUGGAGCUCACAGGCAUGGACUGAUUUCUAAGGUGACCCUCAGCCAAGAGCCAGCAAAGAAGUAGGAUCUGCCUGCAGGGAACCCAGGUUGGCAAUAACACAAAUAGGCUUGAAGAGGGCCCUUCCGGAAGCCUCCAGGUCAGAGCCAGCUGACCCUUACCCUAAGUGCGGCUUUGAAGCCUGACUCAGAGACAGCAGAUACCCAGCUCACACCGAUGGCCAGAGCCGUGAUCUUGUGAGUGUGUGAUUUUAAACCGUGGAAUGAGUGUAACUUGUUACAGUGGCUGUAGAAAACAGACACAGGACCCUAGUGGCUGGGAACAGGUUCUGGGCCCCUCUCCUGGGGUCUUUGCUUGUUCCUGAGGAUCCUCACACAUCCAAGCACAGGUCCCACAGUGAACAGAUUCUCCCUUCCCCCUUCCCAUCUGCAGUCGACACUCAGUGGGUUUUACCCCUGCUCCCUGGACCUCAGUUCAGACCCCUGGGGUGUUUUAGCAGCUUCCUGUGGGUCUCCCAGCCCUGGGCCCCCUAUUUCCAGCUGCCCCCCACUAAUGCAGCUCUGCUCUCAGGACUCAUUCCUCCCCGACAGGCAUCCUGCGCUUUGCCUCUUCUCAGUGAAACAGGUAUAGGUCCAGCAGCCUAAAAUUCACAGCCUUUCGUAGGGAAGGGAGCAUGACAUCUCCGUCCUCACCUCCCAGGACUCUCUCUUGGGCAUUUGCAUUCUUGUUUUGUCCCCUGCAUUUUCUCAGCCCCAGGAUUCUUGGGAGUCCUGCAGGGAAGGAGUCCCCAACCCUGGGCCAUGGACUGGUACUGGUCCAUGGCGUGUUAGGAACCAGGCUGCGUAGCAGGAGGCAAGCAGCUGGAGAGGGAAGCUUCCCCUGUAUCUACAGCUGCUCCCGCCCCUUGCCUGAGCUCCGCCUCCCCCUCCUGUCAGAUCAGCAGGGCAUUAGGUUCUCCUAGGAGCUCAAACCCACCCUGAGCUGCACAUGCAAAGGGAUCUAGGUCGCGUGCUCCUUUGAAUUAUCCUGAAACACCCUGCCCCCACUUUGUGGAAAAAUUGUCUUCCACCAAACCAUCCCUGGUCCCAGAAAGUUUGGGGACCACUGCUGUAGGGCCCUGCCCGUGGGCCAUUGAGUCCCAGCAGGCUUCCAGGAAGCCGUAGAGCUGCCGCCCUUGAGAUGUGUGGUGCUGAAGCUCAGUGUCCCUGUCACACCCUAAGUGACCUGAGUAGGGCCUUCCACCAUCCCAGCUCGGUGUGUGCACAGUGCUUAGGAGUCCUGAGCAUACCUAUGCUCACACGCUGACUGGGGUACAUCCCACCGGAAGGAGAAAGGCAAGCUUAUCAUGUUAGGCACAGUGCCUGAAUCACUCAUUAAAUAGCUCUUAAAUGAGUAUUUCAUGAAUUCCUUUUGCUGUAUUUUGAAAUAGAUGCCCCAAGUACUGGAAAAGAUCCUCAGUAUUUUUAGCACACUUUUCCUGUUACAGUGUUUCUGGGUAUAGCGGCUGCUUAUGCUGAGUUUGAAGGUGGUCCAAACUUGGCAGGUGUGUUACUGUGUUUGACAGAGUAAGACUAUUGCAUUGCUGUCAGGAUAAUUGCUAACACAUAUCAAGCACCUGUGAUCUCCAUGAGUUAGGUCAGUUAACCCUUACAGCAGUGCUCUGACGCUGGAUUAUCCAUGUCUGAGUGUUAUGGAUGAGGAAUCCAGAGUGCAGAAAGGUGAAGUGAUCUACUCAAGGUUAUGCAGCUGGCUGAUAGCAGAGCUGAUUUCCUUCCCAGCCAGUCGCAGUUCCACUCCUUCUAUGGCUACCAUUUCGUCCUUUGAUCAGAGGCAGGAAAACCCCCCAUUCUCGAUCGAAAAUCAUCAUUAGCAUUAUUUCUACAGUUCAUCACUAAUCUGCAACACCUCACAUAUGCACCGGGCUUUGAAAGGCUUUGCUCUUUGUUCUCUUAGCAGAGGGCGGCGGGAGGCUGGUGGGUGGGGCAAGGGCGAUUCUGUGUCCUGCAUGUGUCCCGAGUAGAAGGACCACGUCCGGAGUCACAGCUGCACUGAGUCCCCGAUGCGGAGGACUGAGGCCCAUCUCAGGCGCGGAUGCCCCCAACCCUGCCCUCCAGGAACACAGCCCGCCCACCUGUGCCCUGGGCUGCUCCCACCCACGCCGGAGGGCUGGCCACGGAGCCCUCCUUGGAAGUGAGGCCUGGGCUGGGGACGAGGGCACAGCAUUUCCCUGCAAUCUUGAUCUUUGGCCUGUGGGUUUGUCCUUGGCGAGGGUCUGAGGGUCUGUCCUCAGUUGUGAUAAGAGGUCUCGUUUCUUUCUUCCCUCUGCUUUCCCCAAGCCAAGGAAACAUGGAAUCGGGAGGGGAAAAUGGCUCUCCCUGUUGCACCCAAGAACAGCCUGCUGGAGUCUGUGCUGAGGCUGCUGGUGGGAGGCCCGGCCUGUCCUCAGAGGCCACGUCUGCAGCGAGGUUCUGCAGACCGAGCCAGUGCACAGCCCGGGGCCUCCCGGCUGUCUGGGCCCUGGUGGCCCCACAGGCCUUCCCUGUCCCGAGUGCGCCUCCAGAACACACCGUGUCUUUGGCCCGGAACGGCCUCCCGCUGGGGAGCCUCGUGUCUCCCACUCCCUGUCUCGUCCACCUCCCAUCCUGUGUGACUUCAGUCAGGAUGCAGGGAAGUCCUUCCCUCAAGUGAAGACAGCCGUCCAGGUUUUCAGCCUGGGUGUUGACUUCCUCUCGAAUCCCCAGUGCUUGGACACAAGGUCAUGGACCGCACUAGAGGAGGUGAGAUGGGCUGUGCAUUAGACAGGGCUGACGUCAAGUUCAGGCUGGGCUCGGGCGGCUGGCUGUGUGGCCCUGGGCAAGCUCCUUCACCGUGAGGCUCCUUCGUCCCCGUUGGAAGCAGGAGGAAAUUGCCCCAGCAAGGCCUGAGGGACUAAAAGAAGGCAGAGGAGGGCCACCUUCCUAGAUGCCACCUCAUUAGAUGGUGGCCCGGCAGGGAGGGUUCAAGAAGCCAGAGUGAGGCGGUGGGAGGAGGAAACGAAGUGAUGUGACCAAGUUGUUUUGCACUGCAAAGGCACCAGUGCAAAUAGGCCACGAUCCCAGAUCCCAGAGCUCGGCCCUGAGUCCUGGGGCCGUGUGCAAGGUGAACCGGACUCCCGUCUUUGUGAGGUCAAGGCCAGUGGGCAGCACCCAUGAGGACAGGGGACCUGGCCAUGGGCUCAGAGUGCCGAAAGCAGCUGGAGUCCUCAGCUUAGUAAACACGGGGCGCCAUACUCUGGCUUCCCUGUGCCUUGUUUGUCACCUGAGGAAAGACCGUCAGCCUCUGCCUGGCUCUCAGGGUACUGUAGGGGUUAGAUGAGGUCGCGGGUGCACACAGCUACAGUAGUGCUUGGUGUGCAGAGUGUGCGGGGCAUUAGUUACUAUUGUCACUGACUGGCCCUCUCGGCCGGUUGUGUGUGCGUUUGUGGCUCUUUCCCCGUGGGAAUGCGAACACUUCGCAGCUUUGGCGUGAUGGCUUGUCUGGCUCCCUCCUCUGUUCUGGAACAAGAGCUCAGUGUGUUCUGAGAAACCUGCAGCAUCGCCCCAGGAGUUUAUCAACAGCAGGAACUCGGGGGCCUUCCCAGAGUCUCAGCGCCAGAUGCCAGUGCCGGGCCCUGUCUGUCUCGGCCCAGCAGCGCUGCGCAGCAUGUGGUGUUCACUACGUGCUGUGCGCCCUGUCUCCCCAGGGGAAGCAGGACAUUUGGGGCAGGAUGAGGGUGGAGUGGAUCAAUUAAGGUGGGGUCUUUGGCUGAACUUUACCCUGGGUUUAUGGAGCUUGGAAACACAAAAAAGGUUGCAUUCCUUUCUGUGGAACUGCUUAAUCCACACGCACUCUCCAGACAGGGCUGCUGCUUGGUGCCAGCGGCUUCUCCCAGCACUGCUUGCUUCCAUUCCAAAGUGGGGAAGGGAGAGCUUUAGAGGGCCAGGUGGGUACUUCCUGGGCCCUCGCACUUAGGCCAUUUGUACCUAAGAUGCAACAAAGAAUCCCCAGCCGGCUUGAAACUGUCUCAUGCUAGUGCUGGUGUUCAAGUGCUGCUUCUGUCGUGGCCAUGCCUAACAGCAGCCAGCCAGGGCUUGGUGCAGACUGGACAGUCUGAGCUCAGGCUAUAUGCCUAGCACACACAUGGCCUUGGGCUCAAUCCCCAGCACCACCCCCCCCCCCAACAAAAACAGAAAACCCGAGUUCAAGUCCUGACUCAGAUGCUUAGCUCUGUUGCUUUUCUUCAGUAACGUAACAUCGUGGGCCCUCCCCUCUUCCAUCGGUAAAGCCAUGUGGUGAGGUGACAGAAAUGGCCCAGUGCUUCACUCAUUCUUGUAACUUGCACAGUGCCCAGUCACGUGAUUCAUUAGACUGCGCUGUUAGCAGACACCUUUGCAGCCGAGCUUGGAAAGUGUUUUGUUUCUACUGUUGAACCUUUUCCAUCAGCAAGAAAGGGGUAUUUCUGGGACAGCCCUUGGGCUCCAGCAGAGGGGUGAUUGUAUGUACAAUGUAACCAGGGUGCUGUGUCUGAUCUUGGACAAGUACACAGUGAGUCACGCCCUGGACCCCUGAGUGAGCCCAGCAGAGUUCAUCUAAGCUGACCACUCGGUGAGUGACACCUGAUACUUAUGCCACUGAGGUUUUGUUACACAGCAUUGUUUUGGUGAUUGAUACAGCAGGAAUGUCACUUAUAACUCUUGGAUGGCUUGAAUUCUGUAAGAGCAGGAUGGUACCCUGUGGACUGCCCAGUCCUUCAAAUCCGUGUUGACUGAGUGAUCUAAUAAAGAGAAGUUUGUAACCCUCUGCGGUUCUGUCUGGCAUAACACCGGUUCCCUCUGCUUACAGCAUCUCUGAUUGGGGUCACUGCUGUUUCCCAUCCACUUGGUAUCCAGCAAAGGCAGACAGAAAGACAGAAAGACAGAGGAAAUUGGAGACUGAGUAGCUAGGCUCUGGUUUUAUGCACAAAGCGAAGGCUCAGUAAGUCUUACUUGCUCCCCUGAAUACUUUGGGUCCCGAGUCCCAUGGCAAGCCUGGUAAUUCCUCAAGGGAAAGCGACUUGGAGCACAGCACAGUGAGCUGGACAGAGAGUGGUGCCUGUGUCGGGUGCUCGGUCUGUAGCAGGCACUUCUUGUCCGUCCAUUCUUGUUUGAUUCUGCAGAGAGGAAUUGAUCUGGAGGUAGAAACUCCGCUCAGAGACAGGAAGCGAGCAAGCAGAUGCACACCGCUGGCAAGGUAGCUGACGAACUCUGGAGUCCAGGGCUGCUCUGCAGCCAAGAAUAGCUUCUUUAAGCCCUUCCCUGCAGGCGGGGACCCUGGCCAGCAUCCAGGCCACACUCUGUGCAAGCCAAGCAGGGAUCCUGCCUGGUGGAGGUGACUGGCCAGCUCAAACUGCACAGUUGUCGGCGUGGCCAGGUUGCUGGGCGCCUCCUUCAGUGCCGCUGGUGUGACUCGGACCUUGUGGGUGAGUGAGCCUCACCAAAGUGCCUGGAUCUGGUUUCCACGAGGGUCUGAAUGGCGUUGGCUCUCCAUCUGCAAGGGUGCGCUGUCCAUCCUGAGCCCUGGGUCCUCUCCGGCUGCCUUUCAGGGAUCCUGGCCGAGUCAGCAGGACCAUAGGGCCGGCUGGCGGCAGGGCAGUGUAUCCUGACCACCAUCCUGGGCUGAGGAGCGAAGCCCCAGUCCGGUCCCCUGUCCCUGGCCUGUCCUCCCCAGCCUGCCAGCUCCAAGGGCGGGAAUGGGGCCAGCGCCGGGAGCUUCUCGGGCUUCUGCUCCUGCUGGCACUGGCUGGGCAGGAGCUCUGCUUGGCUGGCUGCCCUGGGCACUUGCCACCCUUGUGUGUUUGCUUGGCCAUCGGGGUGAGGAAGCAGGAUGCUUUCCAUUGGACCCUGGGCGUUCCGGGCUUCAGGGGCCAGCGGCCAGCCAGGGCGGGAUCUGCCAUCCGUGCCUCCGUCUGUCCUCUUUGUCCCUCUCCCUCUCCUACCUGGCAGGCAGUUCAUAAUCCCGCCACCACCUGAUGCCGCGGGGGAGCAGGGGGAGGCCCACUGCUGUGCAGAGCAGGAACACUGGUGAGGGCCGCCCGAGAGCCUGCCUCAGGCACCUCCAGCCUCGGAGGGAGAGGGACUGUGGCACCCCGGCACCCUUCUCCCACGCCCAGCUGCACCAUUCCCAGACCAUCUGGGCCUCGUCCACAGCGUUUGUUUGAGUGGUGGUGAGACCUCUGGCACCACUCUGCCUGUCUUUGGUUAGAGCAGACAUAGGGAUGAUUUACAAUCACCCAGGAUCUCAGCAUGACUUCCUGUUAGGGUCAGGGAGAGACGCACUCCUGGGCCGUGCUACCUUGCUGAGACAGAGGCUGGCCAUGGAGAGAGCCACUGGUGCCCUGUGAGUGGCAUAUUCCCAGGAGCCCCAUGUUCUGGGUGGGGUAACUGAGGCCAGGAGCACUGGAGCCCUACACAGGGCCUUCCCGGUAGGGUAGGCAGAGAGCACACGGAAGGAAGCCGGGCUCCCCUCCCCCUCCCAAAGCAGCUUGCGUUCCCGCUGUCUGGCGCGGCGGGCAUUGUAGUACGCCUGGGCUUUGCUGAGGGUGCCUGCCCUCAGAGGGAACCUGGGGUGCCAGGGCUGUGGACACGGAGAGAAAGGCCUUUCUGGUCCUUGGCUCGGCUCGGCUCCUACGUUUUUCAGACAGGAAGGUCCCCAGGGCCAUGAUCGCCCCGCCCCACAGAGGACAGCAGAGCUGGGAGGUGAACGGGACACUGCCAUGCCUCUGGUUCACUGAGUGCCGAGGAGUGCAGGGUGAGUGACUUUCUGAACACAUGGACACCUCCCUGAGUCCCUUCAGUUCCUCACAGACCAAGGGCCUGGUCUCUGCUGGGCCUGCCUCAGCCCCUCAUUGUUCGGGGGACCCACUGUGGCCUCCUACCGUGCCCUGUCUUCCUCAUGUGGGUGGGUCCCCAGGGCUGCCUGUACCCCACCCUUCCCUCCAGCCCUCCCUGUGCUGCCCCCCUUCCCGACCUGUGUCCCGCCCUGGGCUCGCACCAGCCUUGCCCACAGCGACCUCCUUCUGUUCAGGCGGCUCUUGCAGGCAGACCUGUCCAACCUGGCCGGCUGGCCUGCUUCACAGCCUCCUUUGAAGCCUUGACAGGCGGCCAACAGAGCUGGCCAGGCGCAGGAGGCAGGGUGCUGGUGCCAAGGCCCUGACAGCCACUUCCCGCCCUGCCCUGUCUGCUCCAGGACCGGGCUGAUCCAAGGCCUGCUCAACAGGGACAGAAGGGCCCGGCUGUGAAGGGCCUGGGCUGGCCUGGACAGGGCGCCUGGAGCUGCGGCUGGGCUGUUCCCUUCUCAGCCUCCCCUUCCCACAGGGAUGUGCUCAGCUUUCUCCCAGCCCCGCAGCCCACAGCCUCUGUCCCCACGAGGAGACCUCAUGCGGAACGCACUCUGAGGAGAGCCUGGACGGGCGGAGGGAAGGACCUGCCCUGAGUGCCUCCUCACUGUGCUGUCUGAAGCCGUGGGACCCACCAGCCGCCUGCCUCAGGGCCUCUCUGAGAUUUUUCUGCAGGGAGCAUUUGCGGCACCCGGCAUAUCACCAUAUGGAUACACCGCACCCACCUUACAGAGGAGGGGUGGAAGCUCUGAGAAGCGACACACCUGGCCUCCCCAGAUCACCCAGCUCUCGGGGCACAGCUGACACCCAGGCCUUCUCCGUGGAGGUUUCUGUGGUUCCAGGGACAGAUUCAGCAGGAAUCUAAAUCCUUUGUCCGAGGAAUAGAUGUGCUGGCUUCUUGUAAACUGGCCUGCCCCUAAGAUGCGGAGAAAGACUUUUGGCCUUGUGACAGCCACAGACAGCUGACUCAUCCUAGCUCCUGGACUCGCUGGCUGUCCACAUCAUCCCUGGAAGUCACAGAACCUUCUUGGCCCCAGGCCUGAGCCAGAGAAGGGGGGAGAAUGGAGGGAGCAGCUCACGUUGGCUGCUUUUUGACUGUUUUCUUCCCUCCCCAAGUAUUGUUCUUUUGCUUCUGAGAAUCAUGGUGCUCUGACUGCUGCACUUCGCACACAGAGUGCUCAGUGUUUGGAGACUGAGCCCACCGUGGAUUACAAGCAAAACAAAACUUCCUGGCCAGACUGAUACCAGAUUGAAGGAAACAGCUGGCUUUCAUGGGGACAAGAAAACAGAAUCCAGCCAGAGUGAAGACCCGCGCCAGUCUGUUCUGCACCGGGCAGCUGCUGGGGAAGUGCUGGCCUGGUCACGGGCAGCCAUGGCUGGGUCUUCAAGAAGUUGUGUUGGAAAUGUCGACUCUUCUUUCGAAUCGCAGUCGUGUCCUCCGUCCCAGAUGGAGUGUGAAUGGUGCUUUCUGGGCUAAAAGAUGGGCUCAGCUGAGGGGAUCAAACUUGGGACCUUGCACUUGCGAGGCAGGUGGCAGCACCACUGAGCCAAAUCCCUGGUCCACAUCUUCAUCAUUUUUACCUCUCACUCUCCUCUCGGACCUCCUUUCUCAUCCCAUGAAGAUAUAGACAUGGGCAAAGGCUUUCUGAACAGAACCUCAAUCGCAGAAGAAAUAACAAGAACAACAAAUGGGAUUAUAUCAAAUUUAAACAUUAUACAGCGAAAGAAACAGCCAACAGAGUAAAAAAACAACCUACAGAAUGGAAGACAAUUUUUUUUGCCAGCUACACCUUGGGCAGAAAAUUAAUGUCUAGAAUAUAUAAAAAACUGAAAAAAAAUUAGAGCACCCCCAAAAUAAAAAGCCCAAUCGAAAAAUAAGUAGUUGAAAUAAAUAGACACUUCUGAGAAGAAGUACAACUAGCCAAUAAGUACUUGAAAAAUGUCAGCAUCUUUGGCCACUACAGAAAUGUAAAUCAAAACAACACUAUGAUUCCAUCUUACUCAAGAAAGAAAGAGUCUCUUUCUACCAGAAAUUCUCCUUCAAGAAGAUCUGAGCACUUUUGGGCAGAUUUCAUGAGAGGAAGAUGGAGCAUUCUUGAACUUAGGGUCCCUAGGAAUCACAGUCAUGGUCACCCAAACAGGGCAACUGUGGUGUCUCAGUCCCAGCAGCCUACCACAGAUUAAAAUAACAGUCUGUGGAGUUUAUUUUGAGAAGCCCUAGGAGCUUGGCAUAAGCCUCCAUUGCUCGUGGCAGCAUAAACUGGUCUUUUGGAGUAACUUAUCAGGCGGUAUCAGAGCCUCCCUUGGACCUUGUAUCACUAUUUGAGAGCUUUUUAGAAGACCUACCCCAGAAAAAAGGAAAGUUGUGCACCAGAAACAUAUUCUUAGAGCUGGGCACAUUUAGGGAAGGAAGCGACCUCAGGGACACUUGGUACCUCUGCUCUCUCAUGUCCCAGGAAGCCAAAGCACCCUGGAGAAGAAGAGGAGGCGCAGGAGAGUGUGGCCGUCUGAUGUGCUGUCCCAAAGGGCCCGUCUCCGCCCCAUGAGUCCGUCCUGUGCACCAGGCCAGCCCUCCGGCAGAAUGUGAGGGUCGCACCUACUUGAGGUAGUUCUGCUCUUUCGUCUCCUCACCCUUCUGUUUUUUGUGACCCGCCUCCUGCAGUUAAAAAUUGCUCCUUGUCACAGAAGGAAAAGAAAAGAACUGUGAACCACUAUGUGGAUGUGGAGGAUGCCACAUGCCCCAGAGAAGGGACACGAGGGGCAGUGGGGAGCUGGGGUCCUGGCGUCGGGACACUGCACCCCAUCAGGGCUCCGUGGUGCAGCGUGAGAGCCCUUAGCAAGGGUGUGAGAAGGAGCCACAGGCGAGUGCUGUCAGGGGUGCUCUGCCCCAGAGGGCAGAUCUGCCACCUCCGGCUGCUUCCUAAUCUCCAUUCAUGGGGACACCCAGCGUGAGCCGCGCCUGUCAACUCCAUGGAGUCAUGGAAGGUCUAGAGUCCGGGCUUUCAGAAUCUCCUGGAAGAGACGGCUCCUCUUUCACCUGAGUUAAAUGGACCAGGGGGAGAAAACCACCACUCAGAGAUGCUGACUGACUCAGCAGAAGCCACACAGCGGGGAAGCAGCCAAGGUGGACUUCCACAUGUUAAGGCAGUCCCAGCCUGUGGCUCUGGGAGCCCUUGGGUAAGCGUGCUCCUCCUCCAGCGGAACAAACGCGCCCUGUGCUGCCAGCAGCUGGGUCACGUGGCCAGCAUCGUCUUUCUCUUCUCUUCCCCCCAUGCCUGAGAGUCUGAUCCUGGCUUUUCCUCUCCUGGAGAUUGUAGCACCUACACAAGAGGCAAAGGCAGCCGUCAUACAGACCCAGAGCGAAUUGGAUGCUCUUCCCCCAGCACUGUGCAGACGCAGGAACUGGAGCGGAGAGCUCAGAAAAUCGCCACCGAUUUUUUCUGUGUACCCCUCCCUCCUUCCCAGCCCGUCUCCGUCCACAUCACACUUCUCCCUGGGGCUUCAGUCAUUGCUGAGCUAUCUUCAUUUAAUGUGGUUUUGACAAAACAGUUGGUCUGGAAAUUUUAUUUUCAAUUAAACUUACUUGUUGGACUGCCUAGGCUUUGAAAGCAUUCUAUUAGGAUGGCUAAUUAUAUGGCAGUUGCUGCAAGGAGAUAGAUACUUGCACUCAGUUUCAGCCCUUAGGUAAUUCAGAUCAAAUGCUUCGUACUUUUCCUCCCGGAGCUGUGUACAGCAUCUUCCUCUCACACUGCAGGCUUCCCAGGAGUUAUUUUUAGAAACCCAAAUCAAAACAGCAGUUUUGGUGGAGGCCGUUUGUAGCCUAGCAGAGUAAACCAUAUGUACUGAUAAAAACAGGCAAGCAGCUGAUGCCCUUCAAGAGCAACAAAACCACCUCCCUGUUGCGGGGUCAGAUGCCUGGGAACCCUGGGAACCGCAAGCUGUUCUUUGUGCUGUCACGUUCCUUGGAAGACUGAAGUCAGAGGCAGUGGGGCCGCCUUUAAAAUGACAAAGGACUCCCCGCCCCUCAGCGGAGCCCUGGGAGGACUUCCUGGGGCACUGUUCUGGCCUCGGGUCUCCAGUGGAGCAUGGAGGGCACUUUCUUGAUUUCCCUCCUCUGCUCUACUUUCUUGUUUGAGCGACACACACUAACAUGCCUCAUCCUGCUCACCCAGCGAGCCACCGCUGCCCAUGGUCAGACUGUAAGGUGGACAGGGGCUGUGCUUUUCACCCUGCAGUGGGCCAGCACAUCGUAGGCACUCAAACCUGUAGGGGAGUCAUUAAAAUUCUGUUUGCUUUCUCAUUUUUAUAAAUGUCAAUCUUUCGUUACACAAAUACUAAGAGAACGCAUCUGUCUUGGGGCAGAAAAAGAGCUUUCCCAAUAGGGCCAAACAUCCUGCAGUUCUCCGUCUCCAGUGCUGGGCUCUUCAUUGUCUCUGUGUAACAUUUGUCAUCGCUUUGGAACACGUCUUUGCAGAUCUUUCUAAUUCAUUUGUGCACGUGUACGCAGACACAGGCACAGUCUAUAGACCUGUGAUAAAGAGUAUUACCCAGCCUAUGUAGUCUCUCCCAGGGGUGCAGUCCGCAUCACCCACCUCUUUCCUUUGAACUGCUACCCAGCUGUAGUGCAUCGAGUGGUUACACCACCUUUGACUUGAACCAAGUGAGUUCUUUAUCUGCUUUCCGCAUUGGACCUCUGGAUCCAUUCUCACAUGUCGGCUGACCGGCUAGCCAUGUCCACUGCCAUCUAGGUAGCUACAUCACAUCCUGUCAAAAUCAGCCACUUGCCUGGGAGGUUCUGCCAACCCAGUAGACAGAGUACAUGAAAUUCUAAGGGUUGCCAGUGAGACCGAAAUUCCUUUGUUUUCAACCUAGGGAACAGCGCGGUGCCCCAGUGAGUUCCCCAGCAGUAGAGAGUGGUGUUGGAUCCAUGCUUGGGGCUCUUUUCACAGCCAGAGGGUUUCCUGGAUGGGUCCUGCCCUCGCCUGGACCUCACCUUCCGCAUUUGCCCAGUGGACGUGGGGAACCUCUUCCUGCUGUUUGGCUGUGAAUAACAGGCCUUUCUUGGUGCUGCCAGGACUGCCCCUGAGUGCUGCUGGACUCCCCCCUGCCAGGUGUUGGCUGGGGAAGGGGCUCCCAGCACAGCCCAACCUGGAGCUCUUGGCAGAGACCAUGUCCGGAAGACCCGGGACGCCACCUCUGGACUGUACUCUUCUUUCCUAUUGCUCUGUCAUUCAAUUAAAAUUAAUAUUACGAUUUUGGGCUUUGUUUGGUCUUUUUUUUCUAAGCAAGGCAGUAAGGGGUAAGGAAAGAGAUGGAGCCCUGCGUUUUGCUCCCAGGUUUGCCUAAUUCCAGGUGUGGAGUUUAGAUAAGUCCUUAACUUUCUCUGGGCUUUCAUCUGUUACCAUGAUGAUUAAAUUAGCCAGGUAUGCCCUUAA